rnacentral:rRNA from 1 species
GACAGAGGGUGCAAACGUUGUUCGGAAUUACUGGGCGUAAAGCGUGUGUAGGCGGUCCGCUAAGUCGGGUGUGAAAGCCCUGGGCUCAACCCAGGAAGUGCACUCGAAACUGGCGGGCUAGAGUAUCGGAGAGGUUGGUGGAAUUCUCGGUGUAGAGGUGAAAUUCGUAGAUAUCGAGAGGAACACCGGUGGCGAAGGCGGCCAACUGGACGAAUACUGACGCUGAGACACGAAAGCGUGGGGAGCAAACGGG